GCUCAGACCUCACGCAAUGGUGGCGAGCUGAAUCCCGCCAGGACGAAAGUAGCAACGGUAGGCAUCAAGACCAUGUGCCGUGUCAAAGUCUGCCGCCA
rnacentral:SRP_RNA from 1 species